AAAUUAGCGUCGAUGAGUUCGCGGCGAUGACGGAACGGUGGAAAUCAAAACAUGGGGACGUUUUUUAUUUAUUUAUUUCUUUUCGUUAUUUGGAGGUGAAUUGCAAAAAAUAAAAUAAAGAUCUUACUAACUAUUCCCACAUUUUCGGGAAUUUCUCCACUCGUAGAGCGUGACCACUUUUAAGGACAUUUCUUUAGGGAAACGGCGGGGCAGACGUCAAGACAUUCGUUGGGCCACGGGUGACAGUCGGUCGGGCGGGGCAGCAGGUGGGACAGUAAGCGUGGGGAGCCAAGUUUUCAAGUGCAUAUUUCAUAUACUUUCUUGAGUCCUAUGAACUUAAGUCGUACAUAGGUAGUUAGAUAUUUUUUUAAACGUUAUUGCAUUUUUUUGAAUUCAAUAAUGAAAGAAUAAAUUAUUCAAAAUUCCAUCGUUCCUCCGUUCCUCCUACACUAGCGAUAUUCUUGUCGAUUAAUAUUGUCAGAGUAAUCUUUUCUGCAAAAUACCACAAAUUAGUCCAACGAUAUCGAUUGGCACAAUCAUCGAUUAAAGUUUAAAAAAUGACGACCGGCCGCAAUAAAUUGAAUUUCUAGUUGGUUAAAGUAACGUUUAUUGAAGAAGAUCACAUAAUCGAGUACGACUAAUAUCACAGGUGAAUCACAAUCUUUAUGUUUCAGAUUCCUGGCCAACUAUUUCCUGCCGUCUAUCACUUUCUGCAUCCAGGACACGUAUUUACUGACGCGCGUGUAGAUUCCGGGCAAACCUGGACGUGCACAGCCGAUCCCCGUGGACACCACGCCCACCAGAUGAUGCUCCUUGGACAUCAGCGGACCGCCAGAAUCCGCCUGUGAAGGAUCGGUAGGACCUCUCGCACGCCUCGUUGUUCCAGAUCUUAACGGUAGCCUUGCGCAGUACAUCGGAUCGAUCGUUUUCCGCUUGGUUCUCGUGCGUCCAGCCCCAACCGGAAACUGUUCCGUACUCCUGCUCCAGACUUCGGUGCCCCUCCUCGGAUCCCACGCAGCUGGGCUGGAUGUGUGAAGAGAAUCGGAUUGGCUGUACCAGCUCCAGGAGGGCUGUAAAAGAAUAAAAUACCAAUUUGCAAUAGCUUAAGGAAUACUAAGAAUAAUAAGUAUUAUUUGAUUCGUCUCUGAUUCAUUAUGGUUAAUGUUAAUAUCCUUUGUUGAAACUAUUUCCUACCUAUGUAUUUCUGUUUGUUUUUUUAAAACCUAAGCGCAUAUUUUUAAUGGUGUUUUACUAGAUUAAAAUUUUUUAUUCAUUUUACUGAAAAAUAAUGUCAUGUUAAUGUCAUAUUGUUGAUUUAUGAUUCAGUUCUGUACAUAUGGAAAAUAAUUGAACCUGCAAUUACCCCUUAAAAAACACACAUACCUAUAUCGUGUUUCACAUCGUUGCAGUCGUAUUGCGGAUGGGGCACAAUGUUCUUGAAGUCCACCCUCAGUGCAUCCGGACCGUUGCCAAUCCCGUUGAGGUACUCCCUGAUGCUAUGCAAACCCACAACUCCUUGGAUUUGAGCUGGUUUCAUGAACUGCUGCAGCCCAUUGCAGAUGCAAUGUCCCGCCGUGAGGAUCCAUCGCUCCGAGAUGAUAGUGCCGCCACAAAAGUGACCACCACGACGCAUCAGACUGACCAUGUAGGGCAUUUCGUUGCGCUCCGCCUCACUACCUCCCACGAUUUUUGGAUUUCGAACCGAGCAUGGCUGGUUGCUAACUGUCAUGGGAGUCAGAGGAAUUUCAAUUUGCGUGAGUUCAUGAUAAGGAGUGUUGAAAAUAAUUAGUUAAUAUAAGCAGAACGCAUUUAUUUAUAUUUCUCAUAAUCUAGUAAACUUUUCCUUAUGCACGUUUUAUGAUUAUACAAGUUUUGAUAGAAUCUUGAAAUAUUUGUAGGUUGAGUUCUUAUCAAAUAGGGAAGCAUAAACUGUUGCAAUUGGAACAUUAGAUGUUAGAUUUAUCCAGUGAAUUUAGCAUAUAAAUCCACAAUGCUAAAAGAUCAUGCUUUCUUAAUUGAUAUAAACUAACCUAAAAUAUUAAGGACUGCAAAAAUGAAUGGAAUAUUAAACACAAGUUAAAAGUUAAAAGGUAGUUCCCAGGAAUCCUAAUUUAGGAACUAUAAUUAUUUUAUUUUUCAUAUUAUAUUUGACUUAUUACUCUUUUCGUCACAUUUGUUCAAUCAACUCACAAGCAAUUUGGGAUUGUGCACACUUCACUAGCGACAGAACCGCGACUACGAAUACGAUUUUCAACAUUUUCUGUGUGCACAACCAGUGUUCUUAGCCCCGAAAAAAAACCCGUUAAGCACGGCUCAAGCUUAAACGAAACUGCCACGAAUAUUCUGUGCGGCAAUUAAUUUAUAUAUAGGUGUCUGGGCGUCCAGCGCCUCUCCGUUCCACUGACUUACUUCACUGUCGUCCGGAGUUCUAUGCGGAUUAGCCGGAAAGCUCGCUCUCUCGGCCUGAUAACAAACGGAAGUCGCAGCCGGGCCUUUGGCACCUGUUGCCUCAGCUGAGAGCUUUUUUUGCGCUGCACUACCUGUCUCAUCGCCUUUUUUUUUUUUGCUGGUAUUGUGGGCAUGGGUGCCAUGUGCACACGUUAUGGCAUUUCAAUUGCUCCAAGGGGGGGGGGGGUGAAUUAAGGAGCUGCCGAAAAGUCGAAAACAAACCCAAAAGUAAACAAUGGCCGAAAUAAAGUUUUGUGUGUUUUGCGUUUUAUGACCCAGCGAAGUUCAUGACAUUGAAAAGUGCGCGACAAAAGGUGUGACAAUAUUUAUGCUGAAUUUUCGAUGCCACCACUACGAGUUUAUUGCACCUCUAUCCUUAUUUUAGUACAUUAUUAUUGCGAUUAGCACGUAUUUAGGGUGUUAUUGAAAUUGUUGUAUGGUUAAUAAAGAAAAGGGUGUAAAUAUUAUUAUGACUUGUUAAUCAACUGAAAUGCUAUUGCAUAACUACAGAAAAUUUUAUAAAUGAUUCAAAACCAACUCUUUUGAUUUUAAAUUUCUUUUUGCUUGCAUGUAGUAUCUUUUAUUUCUUCAGUUCUUAUGAUUUACAAUGCAUUUUUGUGUUCCUACAAGAUCUAAUUUAUCUAAUCUAUCUUAAGAAAGUUAAAAAAGUUUCUAGGAUUUGCGUAAUCGUUACAGUUAUGUCAUUGCCUGCAUUUGACACAAUUAGUUCGCACAUUGCAGCUAACCUUAGACGUCAUAUUUCCAUCAGUUUAGACCUGGUAGUUAGUAAUCGGGCCUGUUAUGCAAAUUAGGAUGUCUGCGCUGCAUAUGAAUACUGUGAUGGGACCAAAAAUUAAUUGAAAUUCAAUGUCGGCGCAAUCAAUGUAAUAUUAGCCGCUUGACAUUAACAUUGCCCUUAAAACUAACGCAUGGCCCACACACUCAAUGCAAUUGGCGACAUGGGAAGGUUGAUACACCAUCCAUCGCAUAUCAAAGUGAUAAAUGCAGGUGGAAGUGCAUUUCUAUGACAUAAUAUGUAUUAUAAGCAAUAGCAUGCCAAAAAUGAUGGGUAUUGAAGUGGGCAAAGCAGGAAUUGGAAUUGAAACUGAAAGUUAAGACGGAGUAUGACAAAUCUACAGACCAAGGCAUUAAUAAUUCAUUAUCCACAAUCUCGAUUCUCAGUCGGAGCACACAAAUCAGUUCAGUGGAUCAGACAAGUAUGCCAGAAUUACUAAUUGAUUUCAUGACUUUGGUUCCUUAACCGAAAACCAGAUAGCAUCCCAAUCGAGUUCAUUGAUCGCGGCAGCUCUGUUUCGCACUAAAUGCUAAUUCACUAAACAAAUCGCCCAUAAAAAACACUAUAUAUCCAUUGUCUGCCGUUGACUGGCGUUGAUACCAAAUAACCAAAUAUAAACAAUAUUAACAAACACGAGUGCGGAGCUCAACUGAAACAAGUUUCAGGCGCAUUGACACCCGCCUUUGGGCGAAACUUGGGCGCAUUCAAUGUGAAGGUCGCUUCGAUUUGAGGUACUUGAGUUAUGCUUGACAAUUGUCAUAUUAUUCAGCUAUUUCGCUACACUUUUGUUUUCAUUUCGACGAAGUUCAACGACGCCGCUCUCAGGUGACUAAUUGCAAGGGGGAAGUCUUUGGACGUCGCUAAUGCGGGUGUGUUUGGCGCUAUAGGAAAUGUUUUGGGGCGCAGUGAACCCAUUUAACUGGCAGGUAUUUAUAGGAAUCACGAAUGGGUGGUAGUGGGUUAUAAACAAAAACAUUUAGCAUAGAUGCUUCAGUUAUGAAAUUUAACUGUUUAUUAUCUUCUUAAUUGUGACUUAAUUAAACUAGGUAUGUAAUUAUAGUUUAUAGUUUUCGUAGUGAGUAGGCUUUAAAUAAAACAUUACGUUAUAAAAUGGAACUAUCUACAAUCGUAUAAAUUGCAAUUUAACUAUAUAUAAUUAUAGCUUAUAGUUUUCGAUUGAAUUUCGAGUGAGUAGUGGUUUCUAAAUAAAACACAAGGAUGCUUAAGUUAUGAAAUUGAACUGCCUAGAAUCAUAUAGAUCACAAUUUCAGUAAUUUAUCAGUUUAUAUCUUUAAUUAAUGGGAUAUAAAUUGCUUCUAAAUAUUACAUAUUAAUUAUGUAUAUAUAUAAAUAUUUAUACUUGUUCUUUUAUUUUCGCUAACCAAAUUAUCUAGUUUCACUACAAAAAAGUCUUUGUUACAAAGAUUCAACUUGCUUAACAAAGAUUCAGAAAAAAGGUAUACAUUUAUUUAAUUCAAAAAAUUAUAUCGCUGGAACUUAAAUAUAAAUAUUAAUAAUAAGUAUUUCAAUUUAUCUAUAAAAUCGUAUGUAUAAUUAGCAAUGCUUUUUAUUUAAAGUAAUUAAAUUUGAAAUCUCUAUAUAUUUUUUAAACAUAAUUAAUGAAAUAAAUCUUAACUUACCAAAACGAAGUGCUUUGAAAUCGUCAGCGUUGAGGGGAUCACUUAUCUGGUUUCAAUUAUUGCUCGAAAGCCAACUGGUAAACAAUGAGGGCUUUCUGAGCAACAAUCAAAAUUAUAUAAGUGUCCGUGAAGGAACUCUUAUAUAAAACAGCCAAACUUAGCCAAUGGCUUAACACAAUUUUGGGCAUCACAAUGCACUGACCAUUUGAAUGUUAUUCUUAUUCUAGGCAGGCCAACACGUCUGCUCGGUGUGAGAGCCGCACCGGAACUGCAAUACGCUUGUCCAGCCGCUGACGUUGUAUCCUUGUGAUCCUGGCACUAGCUGCCAGGCAACACGAACGCAGCCAGCGCCUUCGCGAACCGAGCGGAAGCCAACAAGGAAGCAACAUCCCUCGUUGUCGGCGGCUUUUAUCCUUUGGGCCUAUGCGGCGUAUGCGUGUUAUGCAAACGACCGCAGCUCGGCUUUCGCUCGGCUGCCUUUUCGAUGGCGACCAAUGAGAGUCCUGGCAUUGGUUUUUUAUUGCCGAGGACCUACACUAUUCCUUGUUGCGCAGGCGUAAAUUAUGUCAAAUUUUGAAUUUUACUUUUUAGUUUAUUUCGUUUCGCUUAUGGAGAUACAGAUUGUUUCAAUUUAUUCUUGGCUAAUUUAAGCAGUUUUUAAUUGCUUAAAUGGUUUUCAUUUAGUUCUUUUAAUGGCAUUUGACCGAUAUUGUAUGUUUCAGUUUGGAAGUUCUUAAAAGGUUUAACUAUUCUCCGCAUAAAAUUAGUUAGUCAGUUGGAAAUAGAUAGAAUAAAUAUAAACGAUUGGUAUGGGUAAAAUAAUUCUAUAAAUUGAAAAGCAUCCGAAGUUAAAUGUUUUUUUGUAUUUCAAUUUUAUUUCAAAUUUGCUUUUUUAGGAAUGUAACUAUAUUCGUUGGUUUAUGAUGUAAUAACUUUAGUGACUCUCGCAUAUAUACAUAUAUCAGUUGGAUAGAAUAGCUAUUCUUUCCUAUAUACUGAUGCAUAUCAAAUUUUUAAAUUUGAAACUAAUGAAAUUUUAGUAUUCUAAUUGGUGUGAAUUGCAUGCGUUUUUUUAUGAUGGAUGCUAACUUUUGAAUUUAUCAAGAUUUAUGUAAAAUUAUUUCUUUCACUUCAGCUUAAGAUACUUUUGGAAUUUUAUUAUUGUGUAGGUAUGAUGAAACUAUUUUGAUUUCGUGAACCUUUUGUAUGGCAAUUGUACUUGGAACACGCAAUGCCUUAGAGAAUACCCCACAUCAGUUUGUUUUUAGCCCCACCGCUCCCCAAUUAUUUCUAAACAGCCACAACUAAAACACAAUCAACACAUUCGCAAACUAAAUUUCCAUGAGCUGACACUUACAUUUUAUUUGCGAAAUUGUGAUUGACAAGCUGUUGACACGCUUUUAAGAGGUCUAAGGAUGAAGUAGCCGAGGAAUAGCCCCUUUCGCGGCUGGGAGAUUUUUCGCAAUUAAAUAUUGAAGCCAGCACACGGGCAACAUGUAACAUUGCAGCAAUCGCAAAGAACUGGGGAAAUGCAGUCAUUGCAACCGAAGCGCAUCAAAUAUGCUGGCUAAAUUAUUUAUGAGAUUGUUCCGCAGGCGAGGCCUGUGCAACAUUUCAAUAUGCUAAUUACUUUUCGACUUGGCCGGGAAGGCAGCGAAAGGGCCAAACGAAUGCAAGUGGGCGCCACUUAAGCCGAAAGGAAAAGGUAGAGCAAGUGCUAAUCAUUGCUAGAUGCCUGCCACCGAUUUCCCAGGUGGAUGCAAGUUCCGUAACAAAUGCCAAAAUCUAUCGAAGGCGACACUUCAGCGGAAAUAAACAGCAAAGAAAAGGCAGGCGGCAAUGGAUUGGAAUGGAAAGGCAGGCAUGGAAAAUGUGUCUAAAAUUUGGAGAAGUAAACUUCGCAGACCUCCUGAUGUCAGGUCGCAGUGCAAACCCUUAUCCAUCUAUUCCGCGGCAUUGUUUUUGCGUGACAAUUGGGCCAAUUUAUUAUUCAUUAGGUUAAAAAGUCACAGCGCAACAGAACACACAACACGAACUGAACCCAAACUGACAGCCAGCCAAGUCGCAGCCAUUUGUAAUGGUUGCGCCAAGAGGCUGGAAGGGAUUCCUUGAUGGAUCCCGGCAAGCUCUGGCAUUUCAACAAUUUAACCUGCAACUUUUUUGGGGAAAUGCUCUAAUUGAUUUGCUCGGAAAAAUCCUGUUUACCUUCCUGCUCUCCCAACUUUUGGUUCAAGUUUAAUUCCGACAGUUGCGGUUCGAGAUUCAUUGUUGGCUAAUUAGAUUGUGAUCAGGUAAACAAAAGGAAACCAAAGUUGGGACAUGAGAUACAGCUGGACUAUUGUUAUAGAUUUUGUUAAAUAACAAGUUUAGAAAACUAAGGACACUACAAAAAUUUGGUGAAUUC
ensembl:ncRNA asRNA:CR45912 antisense RNA:CR45912